rnacentral:rRNA from 1 species
UACAGAGGGUGCAAGCGUUAAUCGGAAUUACUGGGCGUAAAGCGCGCGUAGGCGGUUUGUUAAGUCAGCUGUGAAAGCCCCGGGCUCAACCUGGGAACUGCAGUUGAUACUGGCCGACUGGAGUACGAGAGAGGGAGGUAGAAUUCCAUGUGUAGCGGUGAAAUGCGUAGAUAUAUGGAGGAAUACCGGUGGCGAAGGCGGCCUCCUGGCUCGAUACUGACGCUGAGACGCGAAAGCGUGGGGAGCGAACAGG